GACGAAGGAUGCAAGCGUUAUCCGGAUUCAUUGGGUUUAAAGGGUGCGUAGGCGGACUGAUAAGUCAGUGGUGAAAUCUCUUUGCUUAACAAAGAAACUGCCAUUGAUACUGUCGGUCUAGAGUAUAGAUGACGUUGGCGGAAUAUGACAUGUAGUGGUGAAAUACUUAGAUAUGUCAUAGAACACCGAUUGCGAAGGCAGCUAACGAAACUAUAACUGACACUGAGGCUCGAAAGUGCGGGGAUCAAACAGG
rnacentral:rRNA from 1 species